GACGAACGCUGGCGGCGUGCUUAACACAUGCAAGUCGAACGGAAAGGCCCUGCUUUUGUGGGGUGCUCGAGUGGCGAACGGGUGAGUAACACGAGAGUAACCUGCCCUUGACUUUGGGAUAACUUCAGGAAACUGGGGCUAAUACCGGUAAGGCGCUCCUGCUGCAUGGUGGGGGUUGGAAAGUUUCGGCGGUUGGGGAUGGACUCGCGGCUUAUCAGCUUGUUGGUGGGGUAGUGGCUUACCAAGGCUUUGACGGGUAGCCGGCCUGAGUGGGUGACCGGCCACAUUGGGACUGAGAUACGGCCCAGACGCGUACGGGAGGCAGCAGUGGGGAAUAUUGCACAAUGGGCGGAAGCCUGAUGCAGCAACGCCGCGUGCGGGAUGACGGCCUGCGGGUUGUAAACCGCUUUCGCCUGUGACGAAGCGUGAGUGACGGUAAUGGGUAAAGAAGCACCGGCUAACUACGUG
rnacentral:rRNA from 1 species